UGUUUCGAAAAUAAAAUUAAAGUGAACCAAAAACUCUUCUUCUUUUCGAUUUUAAUUUGUAAGAAAUUCCCCUUCCUGUUGCAAAAAAAUUGUUCUUAAGCUUCUGGGGAUUGGACGAAUUGAUUUGGUAGAAUAAUUGUAAUAAAUUUCUGACCUUGGUGGAAGUUCUCGCUGUAGAUGAAGAAAGAGAAGAGACAGAGUUUAUAUAAGAAAGUUCGUGUUUCGCACCUGUUAUUUGCGGCAACCCAUUGAAGGCUUCUCUGUAGACAAUAUUGGCGAUAGUGUUCGGCAAGCCAAUGGGGCGGGAUACUCUUACUGGAAACUGGCGUCUUUUGAGAGUGAAGGGAUGAUUGGACUCUGUGGGUGAGAGGACGAUUCUAGGUAUCAGGACAAGCUGCUUUCUUGUUGAAGAGGUAAUCCUGGAAAUUCUAGUGAGUUGAGAUAUUCAAAUGGAUAGGAUAAAUCGAACUCUCCUGAAUGUUUUUCGUCUUCUGCGAAGCUGUCACAGCUUAAGUAUCCUUGCUCAGUUCCUGGAAUCUUGGAAAGCAAUCAUUUUCAAAAUCUGUGAAAACAGACUGACAGAGGAUAUCAAGUGGGUUUGAAGUAACGGGGAGGAGGAGAGAAUCGUUGAUCAGAAUUUGGUCUUCAGAAGUUUCAGAAUUCAUUUCUUUCCGAGGCGCCAGUUCUGCAUUCCCAUCACCAACUUGUAAAACCCAUUUUGCAAAAUCUUGUUCUUCGGAUUGAACGCGCAAAUUUUUGGAGAGGACAUUAAUCUCGCAGUGGUUCCAGAGGUGGGAGUGAUUCACAGCUGCAUUAACUGUAUCUUUCCGGGUUCCUUGUGGGAUGACUGGAAAAAUCUGUCUGAAAUCACCGCCUAACAGUACCGUCUCGCCACCAAAAGGUCUGUUCAAGGAUGUUGCAUCAGAUAAUGACAAAAUAUCCCUGAAUGUGCGAUCGACGGCCUCAACCGCAUGACGAUGUGCCAUAGGAACCUCAUCCCAAAUAAUAAGGUCAGCUUGGCUUAGGUGGUUGGCGAGGAUGGUCCCGUUUUUGACUUCACAGAAAGUAUCUUCAUGGAGCUUGAGAGGUAUUUUAAACCUUGAAUGGGCUGUGCGACCUCCGGGUAGAAGUAGAGCUGCAAUUGCAGAAGAAGCUACAAGUUUAACUUUUUUAUUUGAUUUUCUCAAAGCAGAGAUGAUAGUUUUGUAUAAGAAUGUUUUUCCAGUCCCGCCUGCUCCGUUAAUAAAAGAAAGUCUCCCCUGUUUUUCCAAGACUGACAACAUGACAUCUUCAUAUAUAACCCUUUGUUCUUCGUUGAGUUUAGGAAACAACUCUUGAUGGAUCCUACUUUCUUCUGCGAUGUCAAACUGGAGGCCCUCUAUUUCAAUGAGAGUGUACUGCUGGAGUUCAUGGGGGCUAAGUUCAAGGGCUGGAAAUUGCAGUAACCGACGCUGGUGGCGAAGAACGUCUUCUGACAUACAUUGCCAAGAAUUAUUCCAAAGUUUUUGAGGGUCUGAAACCUGACAGAAUAUGAGGAUUAAUACAAACAGGCGGCGAAGGCAUCUAGGUGAAGAGAACUGUGAAGCUUCAGUCAUUGCGUCAUGCCAUUCUUUGUCUCCAUCGAGAAGACCUCUAGCCAAGCAGGCGGCUUGGAAUGUGUCAUAUUUAAUGUCACCCACCGUGUAUAAAUCAUCAUAGCAUGUUGGACCUUUCACCAGGCUGACUAAGAUCUGUAGGUAAUAUCUAUCACCAGCAUUCGGGUGGAUACUGACAAGCCUUCCUAUGGUCCCUUUUUGCUUGCGUUUGGAGUACACCUUGUUUGAGUUAUCCCAAACAAACAUCGUAAGCAUCUGAAUGUAAUUCAACUGUCGUGCUUCUUCGUACAACCUGUUCAUCUCAAACCACUCAGUAAAUGGACGGGGAACUUUUGUACUGCUGGGCUGUUAUGAUGGACAUCGAACUUAAAAAUUCUCCACAUAGAUUCACAAGCAGACAGAACGUAGCCUGACUCAUUAAUCUGAGUAUGAGGAACAAAGCUGCGAGGGAAUUUCUUGGUACACACACCAUUAUCCAUACAAGGAGAAGUUGAUCUAUCUUUCCCACAUGGACCAUGCAUCAUGUGCUGCUCCACCAAACUGUAAGCCUCAGGAUCUGUUUAUUUAUCUGGUAAUACUGCAGAGAUGAUUUUAUCUAUAUCAGCACUGGUUGGAUUCUUAAAAUAUCCUUCUAGCCAUAAUAGUAUAUGAGCAUGCGGUAGGCCUCGUUUUUGAAACUCAAUGGUGUAAACCACUGCAUAAAAAGUAUGAGGUUGUAAGAUUUAUGUCUGUUAUAAGGAAAGUAUAAAUAACGGAAGUAUGUUUUUUAUUAAUUUGUACCUGCUAUUGGGCGGGGAAAGAAAUUCUUGAAAUCUGACAUGAGCUCGUCUAGUUUCAUUUUGAAGACUCUGCAUUCAAGGUCAGGUCGAUCAUUUGGAUCAUCAGUCCCAUACAUCUGUAGGUGGUUGGAGAUUUCUACCCACUUUGGAUUUGUUGUCAUGGUAACAAACAAAUCAGGAUUUCCAUACCAUCGGCAUAUAGCCAUUACAUCAUGGUACUUCUCUGGCAUGUAUCGGGGACUUCCAGUAUAAGAAGCUGUCUGAACCAGCGCAACUUUUCCUGCUCAAUGGAAGUGUAUGCGUCAACAAUAUACUGGUGGAGUAAGCGCUUAGAAGUCACAAUAGCCAUGCCUUCAUUCAAUCUAUUUUGAAGUUGGAAACAAUAGAGGGUAUUGCAAAAUCAUAUAUAGAGGAUGCAUAUCACUGAUUUGUUGCAAAUCAUACUGACGACCACGUUUUGGCUGAGCAAUCAAUCUUAUACUAAACUCGGGGCAGUCACUCUGUUCAUGAAGAUCUCGAGCUUUUCUGAAAAUCUUGACGAAACGGUUGUGGGCAUCAAUAGUUUCAAUCAGAGUUGGCUGAACUUGGGAGGUUUUCCUGAUUGAGGAACCAAUGAUCCUAUCUUGUGAGAAUUUUGCCCAUGUAUUCUAAAAGUGAAUGGUCCGGAUUUGUGCAUCACUUUUGAAUCUAUUUGGGCCCCAAUAGAAGUGAAUGUGAGGAUUGAAUUGUACGUUCGAAUAUUUUGUUGGAAGUGGAGAGAACUUGAAAGGAGUGUUUUGAGAGAUUCAGGCGGGUGAGGUUCGGGUGGGAGCUUCACACGCCCCUGUUGACAGCAUACACUAAAGAUGGGAGUUCUGUCUCUGCCUCUAGUGCUUUUCUUCUCCUGUUCCCAUACAAGCGCAUGAAAAAAAGGGCAUUCUUGAAGGUACAUUGAAACCGGAAUAUAGUUAGUCUAAGAUGAUAAGAAGAUGUAAAUGGGCAGCUGUAAGGAAUCGGAGUUUGAUGAUAAACCUCUCUGCUUGAAGUUGGCUGUCAGUAGAGUGUGUGGUGACGUUCUAGGUUCGUUUAUGUUGUUAAACGUACAAACGUUUUCUCAUUAACGAAGACAGAACUUAGGCCAUUAAGGUGAAGAUUUGAUGCAAUUGGACCUGUUUCAUGUGCCAUGAAGUGUUUCCUGGAUAACAUUGGAGAAUGUGAUUCCAGUUUUAUGCCUGUUCUCAGAAAUGUGUAUAUGUUUCUCAUCUGGAUCUUAUAGACUUUGGCUUGGGAUUGAAAUUUUUCCUUUUUGUCUAUGAUUGGAUGUUAAUAGGAACGUAUACGGUAUAUUUGUGUUGUAUAAUUUUCUAAUUCUAUUGGAAGUUGGGUUAGUCUGUGA